GUCAGGAAUGCUGAGAGUGAAGGCAGCCCUGCAUAUGACUUUCCCUUUGGGGAAUUUGCUGAACUCUCGUGAUAUUUGGCUUGUCCGUUUGUUUUUACUUUCUACUGGCGUAUAGCCAGCCGGUGAGGAAGACUGUGAUAGUUCCAGGUGAACAGCAGACGCACUGAGCCAUGCAUUCGCAUGUGUCCAUUCUCCUCCGAACUCUCCUCCCACCCAGGCUGCCAGAUAACACGGAGCACAGUUUCCUGCGUUAGACGAGGGCAAGCAGGAGGCUGAUUGUCAAUGCCUUAAUGGGACCCCGCCUAACUCUUGUCUCAGGAAAUGCUAACAGCUGCAAGUAUCCAGGCUGAAGUCCCCAUCUGCACACCCCAUGAAAUGUGGACAGGAGGCCAGCUGCAAAUGUCUGAUCGGGAGCCCAUCUAUCUCCUGACUCAGAUUCCUGAGCUGAUCACAGUCUGAGGAAAGACACAGACAGUUGCUGAGUCAUGUAUGUGUCUGCCGGGAGCCGCCAUGGGAGAUCCCACCCAUGACAAGGUCAUGUGGAAGAGAACUGUUAAGCAAGUCUUCAGAACUCAACGGGCUCCCUAGGCUUUCUUGAGCAUCUGCCCCCAAAACCAGAAUCUGUCUGUUUUACUAUUUCAUGACUUUCACUAACUCCUCUGACAUUAACAGGGGGCUAACCUUGAUCACCUUUCUCUGGAGAAAAUCAACUUACAGCUAUAGCUAAUAAGUCUCCUGGACAUAAGAAGAAUAUUUCCAAUCAAAACCCCUAUGUUAGCAUUUUAGUUUGCUUGGCAGAUAUAUCCAGACUCUUGCAGCUACACAUAUGAUUAUUUCUAUCCUCCCAACUGUGAGAGGCACAGAAAGCCUAAAACAUAGAGCCUUUCAAAGAGUUAAAAGUUAUUAGAGUAGUGUUAAUGUAGGAUUUCAUUAUUGGGCCAAUGCUUGUUGCUAAGUUCCCAUGUCUCUUAUCCACUCUGCACCUGGGAGUGCAUUAGUUAACAUAGUUGAAAAGUAAGAAAAACAAGUGUAGCCUUGAAAUUAACCACAUCAGACUUUUGAGCUAAUUGGUUCUUUCUUGUAAUUUACUGCACCUUUACUCCGUGAGAAAUGUAGCUUGUUUAAUACUUUUUGAGGCUGAUAUAGAUUAGAAAUAUAAGAAAAAACAUUUCAGGGGAAAAUAAGUCUUCUGGUUGAGAAGCGUUUAUCAAAAGAGGGUUAUAAAAUGUUCUCAGGCCUCCAAGGCCAAAAGAUAAUGUACACAAUAUUGUUUAUGAGAAAGGUUUGCAGAAAAAUCCUGGUUUCGAUAAAGGCGAAACAGAUGUAAUGUUUGGGCUGACUCUGUAUGACUUUGCAUCUUUCAUUUCCCUCUAUGUACAAGUAAAGGUAUAAAAGACCCUUUUGAAAACAAAAACAAUGGGCCUCGCUUGAAGAAGCUUGGUCACCCCGUGUUUUUCUUUUUUUCUCUUUUUUUCUCUCUUACUUUCUUUUUUCAGGCUGAUCCCUUGGAGCACAGAGGCUCCCUGCGUUCACUUAUCUGCCCGGGUUUCUAAGACCUGAACGGGAAGACGUUCUGCGUCUUCACUCCCUCGGGAGACCGGGAAGGCACCUGUGGCCUCCAUGAACAGGGCAAACUUCUUGUCUCGAAGUUUUAUUGGCUUUCUAUGUAAACCAAGGAAUAUCAGCCUCUUUCUCUCCUCUAUUUUCUCAUCUACAAUAUUCUUUCCUUAUUUCUCUCUCUGAAUCAUCUGCCGAUGCCGUUUUUCCUUCAGGUUCCCCUGGAUCCUGCGGGGGCUGGACUCCAGCGUGUGUCUUCCGACAGAGCCUAGGAAACCACCAGUCUUCACCAUGGUCCGCUGGAGGGAGAAAGGAGGAACAGCUCACGCGCCCAACUCCUCCUGCCUGUCCGUGUUCACUAGUGCAGAAUCCUCUGUAUUUCUGGGUUGUGUUCUCCAGCAUCCUCUGACCAACUACUGGCGGAGCCAUGGCCCACAUCUGGUGGCUUGGGGCUUCACUUGAGUUCAAAAGUGAGGAAGGAGCCAAAGUCUUUUCGGAUUCAGUCAUGUUUAUUAUUUUUUUAAAAUAUGUAUUUAUCUGCUUCCGGCUGUCCCAGGUCUUUGUAGCUGCUCUUGGACUUUCUCUAGCUGCGGGCAGUGGAAGUAUCACUUUAAAUCACAGACUUGUGUCCUCCAAACCUAAAUAUGGACACAGCAAAGAGGAAAAAAAAAACCCAGCAAAAAAGGAAAAGUUGAUAAGGAUAAAAAGAAUUAGGAAAAAAUGUGAGGGGCACGUGUUGAUAGAGAAAAGAAAUGAAAUGACCACAGUUGCCACUUUCUGGUAUAUCCAGUGGGAUCUGCAGAAUUUCACACGGGUCUCCUGUUUUUACCCUCAAGAUGAAAAAGAAUCAAGAAACCACUGUGGUCAGGACACAAACAG
ensembl:lncRNA